UUUUCUAGAGUUAAAAGUUGGGUUAGUCUCAAAUUAACAAAUAAAAUUACAAUCCUCUUUUCCUUUCCUGAAAGGCACAAUUAUUCAUUUGAUAGCUCAAUUGAAAGUCAUUGAAAAUUUCAACUAUUUAAAAGAAAUCUCAAUUAUUCAUUGGAAGUUUCAACUAUUUAAAAGAAAUCUCAAUUAUUCAUUGGAAGUUUCAACUAUUUAAUAGAAAUCUCAAUUAUUCAUUGGAAGUUUCAGUUAUUCAAUUCAUUUGAAGUCUCAAUAAUUCAUUUGAAGUCUCAAUUAUCCAUUGUAAGUCUCAAUUAUUCAUUGGAAGUCUAAAUUAUUCAUUUGAAGUCUCAAUUAUUAAUUUUAAAUUUCAUUUAUUUAUUUGAAGUCUCAAUUAUUCAUUUAAGUUUCAAUAAUCCAUUAGAAGUCUCAAUUAUUCAUUUGAAGUCUCAGUUAUCCAUUUGAAGUUUCAAUAAUUCAUUUGAAGUCUCAAUUAUCCAUUGUAAGUCUCAAUUAUUCAUCGGAAAUC
rnacentral:lncRNA from 1 species